rnacentral:rRNA from 1 species
GACGAACGCUGGCGGCGUGCUUAACACAUGCAAGUCGAGCGGUAAGGCCUUUCGGGGUACACGCGCGGCGAACGGGCGAGUAACACGUUGGUGAUCUGCCCUGCACUCCGGGAUAAGCCUGGGACACCGGGUCUACUACUGUAUAUGACCUCCUUUCUUCUGGCGGGUGGUGGCAAGAUUUAUCGGUGCAGGAUAGGCCCGCGGCCUAUCAGCUUGCUGGUAGAUGAAGGGCCUAUCACGGCGACGCGGGAUAGCCGACCUGUGAAGGUGACCGGCCACACUACAACUGAGAGACGGCACAGACGGCAAAGGGAGGCAGCAGGGGAAAAUAUGGCGCAAUGGGCGAAAGCAUGAGGAAACGACGCAGCGUGAGGGAAAACGGGCUACGGGGGGUGAACCUCUUUCAGAGGAAACGAAGAAAAAGUGACGGUACCUGCAGAAGAAGCACCGGCUAACUACGUG